AUAUAUAAAGUAAUUAUUUACAUUUAAUUUCGGCUUAAAAAUUUGACUUUUGUUGUGUAUAUA
rnacentral:tRNA from 1 species